rnacentral:lncRNA from 1 species
UCUACAACUAUGGUAAAUUUCAGAAUUCUUCCAACCAUUCUAACAUAUAAUUAAACCAUAAAAUAAUGUCAAAAUUUUUCCUAUUGUGGCACGAAUUAAACGAACAAGCAAAAUACAAGCUCAAAUUGGUAUAAUUCUCACUAAUUUUUAGAUGCCAGCAAGGAAAACCCCAAAAAGACAAAGCAAAAUAUGGCAAAAUUAGAUUCUUGUAGGGAAAACCCCAAAAAUGAGAAUAUAAUUCUCACCAAUAUUUUUAAUCUCCAAAUAUAAAGCUCAAAUUGGUGACUUGUAUACAAUACAUCGAAAAUAGUAGCAACCGUAAAACCCUUACAAAAUCAAAGGCAUGAUAACCAAAACAAAUCCAUGUCAAAAUCAAAAAAUGUCAUUGACGGAGACGAAGAAUUCAUUUCGUUGAACACAAAUAUAAAACCCUUACAAAAACAUAGCAACAACCACAACAAUUGCUUACUCUCAAGCGAUGCAUAUAAAUGAUGUGUUCAUAGGCAGAUGAUGAUUUUGGUGUAGACUUCAUGGUUGCUGGAAGUUUGCAGCUCACAUCUUUUUAUCGAUCUACAAAUUCGAAUUAAUUUGUGACGGAGGUGUUUUCAAAACCCGGUCUUUGUUUUAGGGGUAAAUAAAUUGAGGUUGAUUUCUUCUUCAACGGGGUGAUGCAGGCCAGAGGUGGUGAGGAUUGUGUGUCAGCGAAACGACAGUGGCUUUCCAGGGUACAAUUUUGGGAGAAAAUGGGUGACAAAUGUGUUCAUUUUUCUUUUUGAGUUUUCAGAACCCGAUCUCUAUUUUAGGGGUAAAUAGAUUAAGUUUGAUUUUUUCUUCAACGAGGUGAUGCAGGCUGGAGGUGGUGAGGAGCGUGUGUCCGCGAAACGGUAAUGGCUUUUCAGGGUUCGAUUUUGGGAGAAAAUGGGUGACAAAUGUGUUCAUUUGUCUUUUUAAGUUUUCAAAACCCGUCUCUAUUUUCGGGGUAAAUAGAUUAAGGUUAAUUUUUUCUUCAACAAGGUUAUGCAGGAUGGAGGUGGUGCGGACCGUGUGUCGGUGAAACAGUAGUGGCUUUCUAGGGUACGAUUUUAGGAGAAAUGGGUGAGAAAUGCAUUCAUUU